CCUACGGGGGGCAGCAGUGGGGAAUUUUGCACAAUGGGCGAAAGCCUGAUGCAGCGACGCCGCGUGAGCGAAGAAGGUCUUCGGAUCGUAAAGCUCUGUUUUAAGGGAAGAUAAUGACGGUACCUUAAGAGAAAGCCCCGGCUAACUACGUGCCAGCAGCCGCGGUAAUACGUAGGGGGCAAGCGUUAUCCGGAAUCACUGGGCGUAAAGGGUGCGUAGGCGGCCAUUAAAGUCAGAGGUGAAAUCCCAGGGCUCAACCCUGGUAAGCCUUUGAAACUUAAUGGCUUGAGUACAGGAGAGGAGAGUAGAAUUCCUAGUGUAGCGGUGAAAUGCGUAGAUAUUAGGAGGAAUACCAGUGGCGAAGGCGACUCUCUGGACUGUAACUGACGCUGAGGCACGAAAGCGUGGGUAGCGAACAGGAUUAGAUACCCUGGUAGUC
rnacentral:rRNA from 1 species